rnacentral:piRNA from 1 species
UUUAAGUCGCAUUUGGCAUCCUUAA